CAAAAAUCUUCCUUACGGAAACCUCUUCAAACUUUGAAUGGACAAAACCUGAGAGUGCUUGAAAAGAAGAAAUCUUUGAAGAUUACUACGAAGGUUCCACAUACUACAAAGGAUAACGAAAAUGUUGUUCCAAUCAACCACUGCAGCACAAAUUCAAAUCUUGGAUGUGGUUCAAAUCUGAUGUU